GGGGCUGUAGCUCAGUGGCAGAGUGCUUGCCUAGCAUGUGUGAGGCACUGGGUUUGAUCCUCAGCACCCCCU
rnacentral:tRNA from 1 species